rnacentral:rRNA from 1 species
UACGUAGGGUGCAAGCGUUAAUCGGAAUUACUGGGCGUAAAGCGUGCGCAGGCGGUUAUGUAAGACAGGUGUGAAAUCCCCGGGCUUAACCUGGGAACUGCAUUUGUGACUGCAUAGCUAGAGUACGGCAGAGGGGGAUGGAAUUCCGCGUGUAGCAGUGAAAUGCGUAGAUAUGCGGAGGAACACCGAUGGCGAAGGCAAUCCCCUGGGCCGGUACUGACGCUCAUGCACGAAAGCGUGGGGAGCAAACAGG